UACGAAGGGGGCUAGCGUUGUUCGGAAUCACUGGGCGUAAAGGGCGCGUAGGCGGCUUUAUAAGUCGGGGGUGAAAGCCUGUGGCUCAACCACAGAAUUGCCUUCGAUACUGAGGAGCUUGAGUCCGGGAGAGGUGAGUGGAACUGCGAGUGUAGAGGUGAAAUUCGUAGAUAUUCGCAAGAACACCAGUGGCGAAGGCGGCUCACUGGCCCGGUACUGACGCUGAGGUGCGAAAGCGUGGGGAGCAAACAGG
rnacentral:rRNA from 1 species